rnacentral:tRNA from 2 species
CUGGGCGUGGCGCAGGAGGUAGCGCGACGCCUUUGGGUGCCGCUGGUCGCGGGUUCGAUCCCCGCCGCCCAGACCA